UAAUUUGAUAGUACCUUGCUACUUGGAUACCUGUGGUAAUUCUAGAGCUAAUACAUGCUAAAAACCCCAACUUCGGAAGGGGUGUAUUAAUUAAAUAAAAAACCAAUGCCCUCCGGGGCUCCUGGGUGAUUCAUAAUAACUCAACGAAUCGCAUGGCCUUGCGCCGGCGAUGGUUCAUUCAAAUUUCUGCCCUAUCAACUUUCGAUGGUAGGAUAGUGGCCUACCAUGGUUUCAACGGGUAACGGGGAAUUAGGGUUCUAUUCCGGAGAGGGAGCCUGAGAAACGGCUACCACAUCCAAGGAAGGCAGCAGGCGCGCAAAUUACCCAAUCCCGACACGGGGAGGUAGUGACAAUAAAUACUGAUACAGGGCUCUUUUGGGUCUUGUAAUUGAAAUGAGUACAAUUUAAAUCCCUUAACGAGGAACAAUUGGAGGGCAAGUCUGGUGCCAGCAGCCGCGGUAAUUCCAGCUCCAAUAGCGUAUAUUAAAGUUGUUGCAGUUAAAAAGCUCGUAGUUGAAACUUGGGCCUGGCUGGCCGGUCCGCCUCACCGCGUGCACUGGUCCGGCCGGGCCUUUCCUUCUGGGGAGCCGCAUGCCCUUCAUUGGGUGUGUCGGGGAACCAGGACUUUUACUUUGAAAAAAUUAGAGUGUUCAAAGCAGGCCUAUGCUCGGAUACAUUAGCAUGGAAUAAUAGAAUAGGACGUGUGGUUCUAUUUUGUUGGU
rnacentral:rRNA from 1 species